UACAGAGGGUGCGAGCGUUAAUCGGAAUUACUGGGCGUAAAGCGCACGUAGGCGGCUUGGUAUGUCGGGUGUGAAAUCCCCGGGCUCAACCUGGGAACUGCAUCCGAAACUGCCUUGCUCGAGUAUGGGAGAGGGAAGUGGAAUUUCCGGUGUAGCGGUGAAAUGCGCAGAUAUCAGGAAGAACACCUAUGGCGAAGGCAGCUCUCUGGGACGGUACUGACGCUGAGACGCGAAAGCGUGGGGAGCGAACAGG
rnacentral:rRNA from 1 species